GACGAACGCUGGCGGCGUGCUUAACACAUGCAAGUCGAACGGAAAGGCCCUGCUUGCAGGGUACUCGAGUGGCGAACGGGUGAGUAACACGUGGGUGAUCUGCCCUGCACUUCGGGAUAAGCCUGGGAAACUGGGUCUAAUACCGGAUAGGAGCCAUUUUUAGUGUGAUGGUUGGAAAGUUUUUUCGGUGUAGGAUGAGCUCGCGGCCUAUCAGCUUGUUGGUGGGGUAAUGGCCUACCAAGGCGGCGACGGGUAGCCGGCCUGAGAGGGUGGACGGCCACAUUGGGACUGAGAUACGGCCCAGACACCGACGGGAGGCAGCAGGGGGGAAGAUUGCACAAUGGGCGCAAGCCUGAUGCAGCGACGCCGCGGGGGGGAUGACGGCCUUCGGGUUGUAAACUCCUUUCGCUAGGGACGAAGCUUUUUGUGACGGUACCUAGAUAAGAAGCACCGGCUAACUACGUG
rnacentral:rRNA from 1 species